rnacentral:rRNA from 1 species
AUGCGGACCCUCUUCUGGAACAUCCGCGGUUUCGGUCAAGAUGGCCGACGCCGCCAACUAAUCGAAUACAUGCGAACUGAGCGAAUCGACAUUGUGGCCAUUCAAGAAACCAUGCAUACGGAAUUUUCCCUGUCGGAGCUCGAGCACUUGAGCUCCGACCUAUUUGCUUGGCACUGGCUCCCUUCUAGUGGGAGUGCGGGCCACUCGGGUGGCAUCCUCCUAGAGGUGAAGGAUGCCACCUUUGAGGUAGGCAGCAUGGAUCGGGGCGAGUUCUACGUGAGCAUGGAGAUCUUCGAGCGAGCACUGAACUUCAAAUGGGAAAUUAUUGCGGUCUAUGGGCCGGCCGACCACCGCCGUUCGGAGGCUUUCCUCGGUGAGCUCAGGAGGAAGGUAGCAGCUGCUCAGCUCCCGGUAGUGGUGGGAGGUGAUUUCAACCUCAUU